CCUACGGGAGGCAGCAGUGGGGGAUAUUGCACAAUGGGGGAAACCCUGAUGCAGCGACGCCGCGUGGGUGAAGAAGCGCCUCGGCGCGUAAAGCCCUGUCAGCAGGGAAGAAAAUGACGGUACCUGAAGAAGAAGCCCCGGCUAACUACGUUCCAGCAGCAGCGGUAAUACGUAGGGGGCAAGCGUUAUCCGGAUUUACUGGGUGUAAAGGGGGCGCAGACGGCGAUGCAAGCCAGGAGUGAAAGCCCGGGGCCCAACCGCGGGACUGCUCUUGGAACUGCGUGGCUAGAGUGCAGGAGGGGCAGGCGGAAUUCGUGGUGUAGCGGUGAAAUGCGUAGAUAUCAGGAGGAACACCGGUGGCGAAGGCGGCCUGCUGGACUGCAACUGACGUUGAGGCCCGAAAGCGUGGGGAGCAAACAGGAUUAGAUACCCGAGUAGUC
rnacentral:rRNA from 1 species